GAAGGUAUAGCUCAGUGAUAGAGCACAUGCUCAGCAUGCAUGAGGUCCUGGGUUCAAUCCCCAGUACCUCCA
rnacentral:tRNA from 1 species